UCAAUCCGACACAGGUGUGCUAGGCGAGUAUCCGAAGGCGUUCGGGAGAACCCUCGUGAAGGAACUCGGCAAAAUGACCCCGUACCUUCGGUACAAGGGGUGCUCUCCGUAAGGAGAGCCGCAGAGAAUCGGCUCUAGCGACUGUUUAUCAAAAACACAGGACUCUGCCAACUCGCAAGAGGACGUAUAGAGUCUGACGCCUGCUCGGUGUCGGUAGGUUAAGGGAGCCGAUGAGGCGCGAGCCGAAGUUGGCGACCGAAGCCCCGAUAAACGGCGGCCGUAACUAUGACGGUCCUAAGGUAGCGAAGUUCCUUGUCGGGUAAGUUCCGACCUGCAUGAAUGGCGUAACGACUGGAGCACUGUCUCCACGAGGGACCCGGUGAAACUGUAGCCGUGGUGAAGAUGCCACGUACCCGCGGUCAGACGGAAAGACCCCGUGAACCUUUACUGCAGGUUGGCAUUGGGUCAGCGUCCUUUCUGUGUAGCAUAGGUGGGAGGCCGUGAUCCGGCGGCGCCAGCCGUCGGGGAGCCAUCGGUGAAAUACCACCCUGAAAUGACUCUGAUCCUCACCGGUCCGUAGCCCGGACCGGGACCAUGCUCAUCGGGCAGUUUGACUGGGGCGGUCUCCUCCCAAAGUGUAACGGAGGAGUGCAAUGGUACCCUCGGCCAGGUCGGCAAUCUGGCAACAUGAGCGCAAACGUAGAAGGGUGCCUGACUGCGAGACCCAUCAGUCGAGCAGGGACAAAAGUCGGCGUUAGUGAUCCGGCGGUGCUGGAUGGAAAGGCCGUCGCUCAACAGAUAAAAGGUACUCCGGGGAUAACAGGCUGAUCUCCCCCGAGCGUCCAUAGCGGCGGGGAGGUUUGGCACCUCGAUGUCGGCUCAUCGCAUCCUGGGGCUGGAGAAGGUCCCAAGGGUUUGGCUGUUCGCCAAUGAAAGCGGUACGCGAGCUGGGUUCAGACCGUCGUGAGACAGGUCGGUCCCUAUCUGCCGUGGACGGAGGAAACUUGCGAAGGGUCUCCCCUAGUACGAGAGGAUUGGGGAGGACCGACCUCUGGUGUACCGGCUGUCCCGCUCGGGGCACCGCCGGGUAGCUAGGUCGGGAAAGGAUAAGCGCUGAAGGCAUCUAAGCGCGAAGCCCUCUUCAAGACGAGGUUUACAGCUCGCAAGUGCGAAGGCUCCUGGAAGACGACCAGGUCGAUAGGCCGGGAGUGCACGGCGAGCGAUCGCCGCAGCCGACCGGUCCUAACAGCCUAUCGCUUGACCAC
rnacentral:rRNA from 1 species